rnacentral:rRNA from 1 species
GACGAACGCUGGCGGCGUGCUUAACACAUGCAAGUCGAACGGAAAGGCCCUGCUUUUGUGGGGUGCUCGAGUGGCGAACGGGUGAGUAACACGUGAGUAACCUGCCCUUGACUUUGGGAUAACUUCAGGAAACUGGGGCUAAUACCGGAUAGGAGCUCCUGCUGCAUGGUGGGGGUUGGAAAGUUUCGGCGGUUGGGGAUGGACUCGCGGCUUAUCAGCUUGUUGGUGGGGUAGUGGCUUACCAAGGCUUUGACGGGUAGCCGGCCUGAGAGGGUGACCGGCCACAUUGGGACUGAGAUACGGCCCAGACUCCUACGGGAGGCAGCAGUGGGGAAUAUUGCACAAUGGGCGGAAGCCUGAUGCAGCAACGCCGCGUGCGGGAUGACGGCCUUCGGGUUGCAAACCGCUUUCGCCUGUGACGAAGCGUGAGUGACGGUAAUGGGUAAAGAAGCACCGGCUAACUACGUGCCAGCAGCCGCGGUGAUACGUAGGGUGCGAGCGUUGUCCGGAUUUAUUGGGCGUAAAGGGCUCGUAGGUGGUUGAUCGCGUCGGAAGUGUAAUCUUGGGGCUUAACCCUGAGCGUGCUUUCGAUACGGGUUGACUUGAGGAAGGUAGGGGAGAAUGGAAUUCCUGGUGGAGCGGUGGAAUGCGCAGAUAUCAGGAGGAACACCAGUGGCGAAGGCGGUUCUCUGGGCCUUUCCUGACGCUGAGGAGCGAAAGCGUGGGGAGCGAACAGGCUUAGAUACCCUGGUAGUCCACGCUGUAAACGGUGGGUACUAGGUGUGGGGUCCAUUCCACGGGUUCCGUGCCGUAGCUAACGCUUUAAGUACCCCGCCUGGGGAGUACGGCCGCAAGGCUAAAACUCAAAGGAAUUGACGGGGCCCCGCACAAGCGGCGGAGCAUGCGGAUUAAUUCGAUGCAACGCGUAGAACCUUACCUGGGUUUGACAUGGAUCGGGAGUGCUCAGAGAUGGGUGUGCCUCUUUUGGGGUCGGUUCACAGGUGGUGCAUGGCUGUCGUCAGCUCGUGUCGUGAGAUGUUGGGUUAAGUCCCGCAACGAGCGCAACCCUUGUUCACUGUUGCCAGCACGUUAUGGUGGGGACUCAGUGGAGACCGCCGGGGUCAACUCGGAGGAAGGUGGGGAUGACGUCAAGUCAUCAUGCCCCUUAUGUCCAGGGCUUCACGCAUGCUACAAUGGCUGGUACAGAGAGUGGCGAGCCUGUGAGGGUGAGCGAAUCUCGGAAAGCCGGUCUCAGUUCGGAUUGGGGUCUGCAACUCGACCUCAUGAAGUCGGAGUCGCUAGCAAUCGCAGAUCAGCAACGCUGCGGUGAAUACGUUCCCGGGGCU